rnacentral:rRNA from 1 species
AUUGAACGCUGGCGGCAGGCCUAACACAUGCAAGUCGAGCGGAUGAGUGGAGCUUGCUCCAUGAUUCAGCGGCGGACGGGUGAGUAAUGCCUAGGAAUCUGCCUGGUAGUGGGGGACAACGUUUCGAAAGGAACGCUAAUACCGCAUACGUCCUACGGGAGAAAGUGGGGGAUCUUCGGACCUCACGCUAUCAGAUGAGCCUAGGUUGGAUUAGCUAGUUGGUGAGGUAAAGGCUCACCAAGGCGACGAUCCGUAACUGGUCUGAGAGGAUGAUCAGACACACUGGAACUGAGACACGGUCCAGACUCCUACGGGAGGCAGCAGUGGGGAAUAUUGGACAAUGGGCGAAAGCCUGAUCCAGCCAUGCCGCGUGUGUGAAGAAGGUCUUCGGAUUGUAAGGCACUUUAAGUUGGGAGGAAGGGCAGUAAGUUAAUACCUUGCUGUUUUGACGUUACCAACAGAAUAAGCACCGGCUAACUUCGUGCCAGCCGCCGCCGUAAGAC